rnacentral:ncRNA from 1 species
CUACAGACUUAAUUGGCUUGAGCCUUAGUAUGGAGACCUACUAAGUGAAAACUUUCAAAUUAAGAGAAACCCUGAAAUUAUUAAAAAUGGGCAAUCCUAAGCCAACGUCUUUUUUCAAAUGCAAAAAAAUAAGGAUUCCGAGAACAAGAAUAAAAAAGGAUAGGUGCAUAGGCUCAAAGGAAUCUGUUUUAACAAAUGUGGUUGACUGUACUAUGUUGUUCUAAGAAUUCUUCCGUCGAACCUCAAAUCCAAAAUUGGUGAAGAACAUACUAUAUCAA